CUUUCUUUGCUGGCGACCGGCGCACGGGUGAGUAACACUAUCCAACCUGCCCUUUACUCGGGGAUAGCCUUUCGAAAGAAAGAUUAAUACCCGAUAGUAUAAUGAUUCCGCAUGGUUUCAUUAUUAAAGGAUUCCGGUAAAGGAUGGGGAUGCGUUCCAUUAGGUUGUUGGUGAGGUAACGGCUCACCAAGCCUUCGAUGGAUAGGGGUUCUGAGAGGAAGGUCCCCCACAUUGGAACUGAGACACGGUCCAA
rnacentral:rRNA from 1 species